CCGCCCGCGAACACCCCCGCGCUCCUCCGGCUCGCGGCCCCGCACCGGAGGAAAGGAAGGAGGCGGAGAAAGAAGCCGUCGGGGUGCGGGAAAGAGGAGGACUGAAAAGAGGAAAUGCGGAACGGAGGGGGAAAGGGAGUAAGGGUUAGGGAGCGUUGCCCCGCCAGGCUGGCAAGGUCUCUGCGGGGACGGCGUGGCGGUGUCCCCUGCCCCGGCCUCGGGUCUCAUUGCAGGCCUCUAUAGUUUGGCGCCCCCAGGAGGCCGGGCUGAAACCCUGAGACCCCAGGGCGCCGAGAGCAAGGAGAGGAAAGCUUCCCCAGCCCUGGAGUAACAAAUGCCUGCCAGAGGAGAUUUUCCAGGCUUUGAGAUUGCUGGUCCCUCGGCCCUCCUGCUCCCCGUCCUGCUCCCCCCCCCCCCCGCUUCCUCCUCCUCCCUCCUGCUCCUGCUCCCCCCUCCCUCUUCCUCCUCCUCCCUCCUGCUCCUGCUCCCCUGCUCCUGCUCCCCCGCUCCUGCUCCCCCUCCUGCUCCUCCCUGGACCGGGUCAACCUCAGAGCGAGGGGAGUGGAAGAAAGUCCUCAAGGAAGGAGGGGCGGCUUAGUCAGUUCCCAGUUCUGUGCAGAGACAGCCUGCUACUGACGCUAAACCAGAGUUCUUCACACUGGGACAGCAGGGAGCCAGCGGGGGAGCUGGGCCGACUCACAGGUGGUGCUGGCUGGUAAGCCUCGGCCUGCACUGUGCUGGGCGCUGUGGUGUUACAGGUGAAUCCCACACCAGCUGUCAUUUCAAGGGGAUCAUUAACUGGUGGCAAAGAGAAACUGCUGAAAGGCUCAAGAUGUGGGCUGUAGGGAUGACUGGAAUGCAGGGAAAUACACCGGGGGUGCCAGGGAACAUUUAUCAAAGGAGAUGGGGUCUUGCAAGAAGAUUGGACAUAACCCAAGUGCAGGGAUAAGUGGGGGACACGCUUCCCAGAAGAAGGAAAGACAUGGGGCAGGGGCAACAGCCCGCUGAGUUGGGGAACAGAAAAGGAUUCUGGGUAGCCAAUCUGGGGCCUUUAGGGCAGGACAAGGGUAAUGAAUAGGCUGGGAGGUGGGCAGAGCCCAGGUGGAGGGGAAGUUCCAGUGAAGAGUCUGAUGCUCUGAUUUGGGCUGUGGGGUGGUGGGAUGGAGGGAUUUGGGGGAAAGGCCAUUCUGGAGAUAUGGACAGUAGGCUGCGGGAGAGAGAGCAGCAGACACUGGGUAAACGGCCUCCGCAAGAGGUGAAGUCUCAGAGCAAAACAAUCUGAGGAGAGGAGAGGAGAGAGGCUAGGUGUGAGGGAGGCAGGAUGUGGGCACACACUGUGUGGGGUGAGGUGUGAGUCAGGGUUAGUACGGGUAUCUGAGUAACUAUUUGUUUAUUUUUAUUUUUGGAUCCAGAGAUCAACUCAGGACCUUGGGCUUUAUAGGCAGGGUCUUGGUAUGUAGCCCAGGCUGGCCUAGAACUUGUGGCGAUCCUCCUGCCUCAGCCUCUCAAGUGCUCAGAUUACAGGCCUGUGCCACCAAGCCUGGUUCCUUGGACCCCUAAGUCUGAGCACUCAGAGCUGGCUGCUGUGACCAGGCCAGAAGACUGAGGCUACAGGCUACCCAGCCCUGCCUCACCCACCCCCAGAGCUGUUCUUUGUGUGGAGAGAGUGAUUUUUGCACCAGGCCUGUCCCUCUCUGAGGUGCCCUCAGGUUUGUACAGCAUCAGUGUGUGUGUGCGUGUGUGUGUGUGAGUGAGGCUGGCUCCCCUCCAUGCCCUCUCUAGGAUCCUCCUCCUCCAUACCAGCCAUGAACAUGGUCUCGGGUGCUGAUCCUGAUGCCCUGAGGCAGCAGAGGAGCACAGAGGCCCACACAUGGGCUCUGAGGCUGGUCUCUGAAAGAACCUCACAGAGGCCAGGGGCUGCCCCUGUGUCCUAGAGCUGCCGCAGGCCCUCCUUGCUUUAGUCCUGAAGAUGUCUUUCUCUUCUGGCCUUGGCCAGGAGAUGCCUUUGCCAGAGGACAGGAGCUGAAGACGGCCUGCAGUGACCAUGUGGAGACCAUCCCUGACUUCCUUAACCCAGCCAGUUUAGAAUGAGGAGGGCACGAGUGCGUGUGGGGAGGUCUGGGGUUGUCUUGAGCAUAACCGUUUCCCAGGGAAACACUCUACCUCUUCUAAGUGCUCUCCCAGUUCCUUGAAACAGUUGCUGUAUCUGAGCAGAUACUAGCACCAAAGUGCUGAAAACACUUAAGGGCUCCUCUUAGCGACUUCCUUUGCAGGUUGCAGCCCAAUCUUUGAAAACCUUCCCCUCAGACAGGGUGAUGGAGGGGCUGCAUGGAUAUAAAUUAGAGGUAGGGGAUUCUCUCUUCCUGCCUCCUGCAGCUCUUCCUGCUAAGGGUACACUGGGGUGUGUACAGCCUGUAACUACAUCUCCUCUCAGGCAAAUUGCUUCUCAGUGUCCCUGUCUGAGGAGCGGGACGCCUCUUCCCUUCUGCAGGGGAGACAGGGACCUUGAGGUGCCCGGCACACAGCGGACCGCAGCUCCCCUCAGGGCCAGGCUCCCGUGUGAGCUAGGAGCUGGGACCGGCAGGGCGGCGCAGGCCAGGGCCGGAGGCUGGUGGCCCUGGCCAGACGAGGCGGGGCGAGGCCCCAGGAGCUGCAGCCGCCACUGCCCGGCCCUGCGCUCCGCGCUCUGCCCAGCCCGCCCGGCCCGCCGAGCCCAGUGCUCGAUUAAUAAUCAUAAACCCCCGCUCACCCUCCUCUUAAAAUUAAUAACUCUGUAAUUAGAGUCAUUCCAGGAGCCUCCUGAGCUGCCCAGGCCGGCCGGGCCGCACCAUGGGCAGGAGGCGGCGGAGGGGGGCAUGUGCAGGUGCGGAAUGAGAAUUAAAAUCGCCCUCAACGAUCCAGUACACUUUUUAUCAGCCAUCUAUCUGAGAGCCGGGCCCAUUCAUCAUCCGAGGCAGUCUCCCUGAAAACAAGACCCAUUCAGAUUUUGUACAAAUUAUCAUAUUUAUCAUCGUCUCCAACUCCGGAGUAACAUCUCGGCCAAGUGUCUGCCGCCUCUGUCUCCGGGGAGCCGCGCCGAGCGCCUUUGCCCACCCGCGACUCCCCGCCCGCCGCCUCCUCCCGCGCCCUCCUGGACUUCCAGCGACCCCACCGUGCAGCCCCAGCCCCGGGACAGCUUCUGCCCCGGAUGAGGAGUUUCCCGCAACCAGCGGGGUCCCAGCUCGGUCCACCUCCUCCUGGAAGCGCGCUGCUCGCUGUGCACGGCCCCAGGAUCAGGGAGGCUUCCCCAGGUCAGCCGACAAACUCUGCACCCGGCCGCUGCAGGGAGAGGCCCACAGGGUCGCAGGAGGGGGGCGUGGCCCCGGCUCCCGGCAAGCAGCGGGUCUCCACCUUUCACUGAGGUCCUCCAGCCUAGUCAGGCAAAAGGCUGCAGCCACAGCUUCUGCGGAGGAUUCUGUCGCUGUGUUGCUGUGGGCCUUUGAUCGGCUUAAUUCCUUCAUUCAUCCCUCGGUUGUUAAUUCAAAAACACUGCCGAGCACCUCUCUGGGUCAGCUCUGGGCUUGGCAUGGGAAUUCCCGUGGGGCCAGCACAGCAGCCUUUUGCCCCUGGAGGGUGCAGUCCAUACAGCAGAACUUCCUGGGGUGGUGCAGGUGCCCUAUCCCUGCAUUGCUCCUCGUGCUGAUACGAGCCAUAGGUGGCCCCUGAGCACUUGAAAAGAGUCAAGUGUGGGUGGCGAACUGAUGUUUCAUUUUAAUUAAGUUGGUUUAUUUAGCAUAGUUGUGGCCAGUGGCUACUGUGCUGGUCAGCACAGCUCUGGCGGGUGGGUUCGUGUUCAUUUUGCUGAGCAAGGCAGGAUACACGUGAAGGAACCCCAUCCUUCCCGGGCUGUGGAAGGCCUGUGGUGGGGGCUCCCUUCUCCCUGUUCCAGUCACCAGUCUCUGAGCAGUAUGAGAAUGCAACUCGGGCUGGGGAUUUAGCUCAGUGGUUCUGCCGCCUGCCUCACCUGCCUUGCCAGCACAAGUUCAAGUCCCUAGUUCAAUCCCCACUACCCCCCCGCAAAAGAAAGCAACUCAACCGGGACAAAUAACAUGAGACCCCAAGUCCCUAAAGCAGGCUGUUGUGCAAUAGAAGCAUUCACUGAAUACAUAUUUUGGUACCAGACACCAUUUGCAAGUGCGCUAUUAUAAGUCUUACCAGGGGCCCAGAUACCUGUGGGGUGAGAACAGUGGGGACGGAAACAAGGAAAGGGUUCUGGAACAACUGAACGCCUUUCCUUUCUUUACCUGUGCUGGGGACUGAGCCCAGGGCCUCGAGCUUGCUAAGUGCAUGCUCUACCACUGAGCUACACACCCAGCUUGGAAAUACUUCAUUUUUUUUUUUUUUGGUACUGGGGAUCAAACUAGGGUCCUUGCGCGUGCGCAGCAGGCUGCGAAACCACGGAGCCAAGUCCCCAGACCAGAGUUUUUUUGGUUUUGUUUUGGUGGUACUGGGUUUUUUUUUUUUUUUUUUUUGGUACCGGGGAUUGAACUCUGGUCCUUGUGCUUGUGAGCCAGGCAGCGGAGCCACUGAGCUAAAUCCCCGGCCCUUGGAAAGACUUGAAAGGAUAUGAUUCUUCAGCUCUGGAGACAGCUGCCAUGCAGAGGCGGGAGCCAGUUAUAUUAGUGAGAUCCUCCUGCUUCAGCCUCCCAGCCUGCUGGGGGUGUGUGUGCUAUUGUGCUAAGCAGUUGUCUGAUUUUUUUUUUGAGACAGGGUCUCUCUAUGUAGUUCAGGUUGGCCUUGCACUCACCUUGUAGCCUGGCCUGGCCUCAAACUUGUGGCAAUUCUCCUGCCUCAGCCUCCCUAGUGCUGGGAUUACAUGUAAGUUAUCUGAUUUUUUUUUUUUUGGUACCAGGGAUCGAACUCAGGACCCUGAGCUUGCGAGGCAGGUGGCGGAACCACUGAGCCAAACCCCCGGCCCUAGUUAUCUGAUUUUUUAAAAAAGGGAAGCCAGAAAUUUAUUUAAAAUUCACUGGAAAUUCAUUAAAAAUUUCAAAAUAAACCACCUAACUGUGCAGAUGAAAAACAACAGAUUGGCAAAGAUAGUUGUUGCAGUUCUAUCUGAAAGUCAGAAGUAUCUUUAAAGAGACUGGAAUGACUGGAUUGUGUGCAACUCAUCCACAGAAGGAGAAAAGUAACCCUUCCCUGCCUUCCUUACUGGGAGUUAAGAGAAGCAAAAUGGAAUUCGCUUCACAUUGACUUAUUGUGAAUGCCUCGGCUCCUGGAGUCCAGGAUUGACAUUUAGUGGGAGGAAAGGCAGUUGUCCCUGCUGUUGGGCCUGAGACAGCCUAAGAGCAGUACCUCUGCCAGGGCCCUGGUUAAAUGGCAUAUGUAUAUGACUUGGAUACAACUAUUCAAUGGAAUGCUAUGUAUCCUUGACUCCAAGGGAAGUAAUAUUAUCUCUAACAAUGUACAUUAUCUUUAUUUAUUUUUUAUUUAUUUUUGGUACCAGGGAUGGAACUCGGGUCCUUGUGCUUUCGAGGCAGGCGGUGGAACUACUGAGCUAAAUCCCCGGCCCUACAUUAUCUUUAAAAUAUACAGAUGUGAAAAGAUCUCCAAAGUAAAUUAAAUGAAAAAAAGCACAAAAUAACAUGUCAUUCACAUGAGAGAAAAAGGGAAUACUCAUGGGAACACCUGCAGAGGCUAGUUCUGUAGUGAUGCACAAGAAACAGGAGUCAGUAACUGCCUCAAGGGCCAACGGUGAUCCAAGAGAUGCACACCUGACUGCCAGCAGCAGUUUUCCAGAUUCCUUGUGGCCCUCCCUUCCUGCUUAUACCUUUGUACUGUCUCAUGCUCAACAGCAGGGACAACUGCCUCUUCUCCCACUAAAUGUCAAUCCUGGACUCCAGGAGCCGAGGGAUUCACAAUAAGUCAAUGUGGAGCAAAUUCCCUUUUGCUUCUCUUAACACCCAGUAAGGAAGGCAGGGAAGGCUUAGUGUUCUUCCUUUUGUAGAUGAGGCAACUGAAGCAUAUGUUGUGGUACAAAUCAACCCAGUCAUUCCAGUAUUUCUCAGCAAUGCCUCCAAGGCCCUGGUCCCAUAGAACCAAAGGGAAGACACCAAGCUGGAGAUGGAGGAAGAAGUAACAGGAGAGCCAUGGCCUUUGAGCAAAGUCUCAUCCACUGGUGGCUGGGGUUCUGUGACUACAACUGUGGCUGAAUGUAAUUUAAAGCCUGAUGUGCGCUGUCGGUUUCUGUGCACAUGAACAUGUAUGUACUCCACCAGCUCUCAAGGCACUGAGUCCCCACUGGUCUCCCUUCUCUGAUAACAACUGUGUCCUCCUGUUUAAGCCUGGACAAAGAGCAAAUGAACCAAAGGAUUCUCUACCUGGCCCCAGAUCCUCUCAGCCUCAGGCCUGGAUCCCAGCCUUAGUGCACGACUAAGGAAGGACAGCAGGUAGAUACUGAGGGAGCACUGUACCUGCACCCCAGUGCAUGUGUCCACGCUCAUGUGGGCACAUCUCAGCCUUGGGCAGGACCCAGGGCCCAGCUGGCACAGGGAGCCAGGGGCAGCCUUAGAUGGCGAUGGCAGAUCUGGCAACUGGCUGAUCAAACAGGCCUCCCUUAGGCUCCCAAGUGUCUCCUUCAAGGGAUCUAUCACACCAAUAGAUACAAAGUACUGCUAGGCACUUUGCAAGUGUUAAUUUCCGACUGCUGCUGUAACAAAUUACCAAAAUUUUAGUGGCUUAAAACAACAUUUGUUAUACACUCUUGGGUUCAGAAAUUUAAAAUGGGACAGGGGAGCUUUAUUUCUUUUGUUUGUUUGUUUUUUGAGACAGGUUCUAUGUAGUUCAGGCUAGCUUUGAACUCACUAUGUAGCCCAGGCUGGCCUCGAAUCCACCGUGACCCUCCUGUGUCAGCCUCCAUAGGGCCAAGAUUACAGGCGUGCACCGCCACACCCACCACUUUAUUCUUUCUUACUUUAUUCUUUCUGGAGGCUCUGGGGGAGAAUUUGUGUCCUUCCAUUUCCUAGCUUCUAGAAGCUACCCAUUCCUUGGCUCAGGGCCACAUCACUGCCAUCUAGGCCUCUGUUCUCACAUUUCCGGUGACUCUAACACCUUUACCUCUCUCUAGAGGAUCUUUGUGAUGAUCUUAGACCCAUCCACAUAACCCAGGAUCAUCUUCGAAAGAUCCUUAAUUAUAUCUACAAAAUCCGCUUUGUCAGAAAAGAAAUUUACUUACAGGCUUUGGGGAUUAAGAUUUUGGAUGACAGUGACUGACUAUUAUUCUGCCUACUAUAGCAAGCAUUAGCCCACCUAGCCCGAAUAACAACUCUAAAAUAGACAUUGUCAUCAUUUUGCAAACUGAGAUGCUCAAGGUUAUACACUUAGUACACAGCAAAACUACAGGCACACCUCCCGAGUCUCCUGAUGAUCACCACACAACUGGGGCCCUGAGGUGCUCUGUGCUGGCAAGUGCCCACUCUGGCUUCACUCACACACACACACACACGCACAGGGGCAUUU
ensembl:lncRNA